rnacentral:rRNA from 1 species
AGAGUUUGAUCCUGGCUCAGAACGAACGCUGGCGGCGUGCUUAACACAUGCAAGUCGCGUGCGCAGUUUCCGUAGCAAUACGGGGAUGGGCGCACGGCGCACGGGUGCGUAACACGUGGGCAAUCUGCCCUCCGAUGGGGAAUACCCCCGCGAAAGCGGGACUAAUUCCGCAUAACAUUCCUUGGAUUAACUUUCGAGGAUUCAAAGCAGCAAUGCGUCGGAGGAGGAGCCCGCGCCCGAUUAGCUAGUUGGUGAGGUAACGGCUCACCAAGGCAAUGAUCGGUAGCUGGUCUGAGAGGAUGGCCAGCCACACUGGAACUGAGACACGGUCCAGACUCCUACGGGAGGCAGCAGUGGGGAAUCUUGCACAAUGGGCGAAAGCCUGAUGCAGCGACGCCGCGUGGGGGAUGAAGCUUUUCGGAGUGUAAACCCCUUUCGACUGGGACGAAUGCCUCGCAAGAGGAGUGACGGUACCAGUAUAAGAAGCCCCGGCUAACUACGUGCCAGCAGCCGCGGUAAGACGUAGGGGGCCAGCGUUGUUCGGAAUUACUGAGUGUAAAGGGUUCGUAGGCGGUGUGGCAAGUCGGGAGUGAAAUCUCUGGGCUCAACCCAGAGACUGCUUCCGAAACUGCUGUGCUUGAGUGUGAGAGAGGCUCGUGGAAUUGCAGGUGUAGCGGUGAAAUGCGUAGAUAUCUGCAGGAACACCCGUGGCGAAAGCGGCGAGCUGGAUCACUACUGACGCUGAGGAACGAAAGCUAGGGGAGCAAACAGGAUUAGAUACCCUAGUAGUCC